rnacentral:rRNA from 1 species
GACGAACCGAGCGAACGUUAUUCGGAAUCACUGGGCGUAAAGCGCACGUAGGCGGAUGUGUCAGUCAGGGGUGAAAUCCCGGAGCUCAACUUCGGAACUGCCUUUGAUACAGCACGUCUUGAGUCCGAUAGAGGUGGGUGGAAUUCCUAGUGUAGAGGUGAAAUUCGUAGAUAUUAGGAAGAACACCGGUGGCGAAGGCGGCCCACUGGUCCGGUACUGACGCUGAGGUGCGAAAGCGUGGGGAGCAAACAGG